CGGCAGUGAAGGGUGAGGUUUUUAAUCUCAGCUCUUAGCUAUUGCUCUGACCUCUUGGCUUUCAUCUCUGAAUCGGCUCUGUGUUUCUUAUUUAACAAGAUGGUUACAUCUACACCCGAGGAAUGAGUUCAGGCAGUAGCUAGGCAGUGUGCAGACCAAACCCACCUAGUGGACAAUACAGUAAAGCCAGCUACAGAGCUUCACUGGGAUUACUAACCAGGUCAAAACGGCCGCCAGGGAAGAGACCUCAUGAUUUGUUGCCUCCUCCAAGGAGGCUUUUGAGCCGAGGGACGCUGGCACUAUCGAUCGAGUCAUGAGACCGCAUGGCUGUAUUGCAUGCACACUGCAAACAGGGGAGAAGUGGAUUAUCAUCCAAUAGAAAUGAAGCAAAGAUGUGAGCAUGCAGGUAUUAAAAUCCAUCACUAAGAGAAUGUUGCACAUUCUCUAGUCAAGGACACAGGCACAAGGAGAGACCAUGGGGGAAGUACAUGAUGUUCUGGAGACACAUCCAGACAAGCUUCUUGGCCACCAUAAGGGGAAUCGCGUUACUCUUUUACAUACAUGAUCUGUCUCAUCAUGGAUCCAAAGUGAUACUUAAGGACCAGAAACUGAAACAAUGCACCAAAAUAAAUCUUUCUACCUCUUAAGUUGAUUUUCUCAGGUACUCUGCCACAGUGAUAAAAAGACGGCUAAUAUGAGGCAGAGAUCCUUGGAGUGCUGUUGGUGAUGUUGGCAAUAUCUGAUAAUGGAGUUUAACGGCCUUCACAAUUUCUCAUGAGAGGAGUCUGGGGAAGUUUGAAGAAGAAUAUUGUAGAACUUAAUAGGCACUUCUGUGGAUGCUCAGGGCAUCUGAAUAGGACAGAAAUACAAUUUACUGGGCUCACUGCUAAGAGUUUUGACUUCAGUCUCAGAGGGGACUUUGGACUUAGACCUCUGAACAAAUCUGGAACUGUUAGGACAUAGUGACUCUUGGAAAUAGACUAAUUGCAUUUUGAUUUAAGAGCUGGACAUGAGUCUUUAACAGACCAGUGCCAAAUGCUAUGUUUUUUUAAAAUCUUGUUUUCUCCUUUUAUUGAAAAUAGAUUUUUUUCUCACAUAAUAUAUCCUGAAUAUGAUUUCC